rnacentral:rRNA from 1 species
GAUAAAUAAAUUUAUUAUUAUUGUUUUUUAGAAUAAACUUGAAUUUUAGUUUUAAAAUUAAAAAAUAUUAAUUUAUUAUAGUUGAUUAGUAAUGAAAAUGAAAUUUUAAAUAAUUUAUAUUUAACAAAGAAAAGUUUAAUUCUUGUACCUUGUGUAUCAGGGUUGAUUUAUUAAAGGUUAAAAAUUUUAAUUUUCUCGAAUUAAUAAGAUCUAAAAGUUUAUUAUUUAAUUGUUUUAUAAAUUUUUUAUAUAAAUUUUUAGUAAUGAAAUGUUUUUCGUUUAUUAAGAUAUCUAGUUUUUUAAGAAAGAAAUUAAAUUUUGAAAGUAAAAUUUUAUUUUUUAAGUUUUAAUUAAUAAAUUUUAUUAUUUAAAAAUUUAGGGGAUGAGCUUUAAAUUUUAUAGAUUAAAAAUAUUUUUUAUUAAAAUUAUUUUAGUUUUUCUAAUAUUGUAAAUCUUAUUAUAAUAUAAAAGUUAAUGUAAUUGGAAUUUUAAUUUUUUUAUUUUUUAAUUAUUCUAUUAAAAAGAAAAAUUUAAUUUUUAAAUUUUAGAUUUUAUGAUUAAAUUAGUAAAUUAUUUUUUUUAAAAAAAAAAAAAAUGAAAGGUAAAUUUAAGGAACUCGGCAAAUUUAUUUUUCGCCUGUUUAUUAAAAACAUGUCUUUUUGAUUUUAAUAUAAAGUCUGAUCUGCUCAAUGAUAAAUAUUUAAAUAGCUGCAGUAUUUUGACUGUACAAAGGUAGCAUAAUAAAUAGUUUUUUAAUUGAAAGCUGGAAUGAAGGAUUGGACGAGAAAAUUACUGUCUCAAUUUUAUUUAAGUUGAAUUUAACUUUUUAGUUAAAAGGCUAAAAUUUUUUUAAAAGACGAGAAGACCCUAUAGAGUUUUAUAGUUAAUUUUCUUUAAAGUUUUUAGUAUUAUUAUAUAUUAAAUUUAUAUUAAUUAUUUGGUUGGGGUGAUUAAAAAAUUUGUUAAACUUUUUUAUUUAAAAAAUUAUUUAUAUAUAAAUUUGUUUUCUAUAGAUUUUUAAAUUUAAAAUAAAUUACCUUAGGGAUAACAGCGUUAUAGAUUUUUGAAGUUCGUAUUUAAAAAUUUGUUUGCGACCUCGAUGUUGGAUUAAAAUUAAUUAUUGGUGCAGUAGCUAAAUAAUUGAGUCUGUUCGACUCUUAAAAUUUUACAUGAUCUGAGUUUAAACCGGUGUGAGCCAGGUUGGUUUCUAUCUUUAAAUUAUAAUAAAAAUUUUUUAGUACGAGAGGACCAUAAAUUUAAUAAUUUAUUUAAUGUGAAGAAUAAAAUU